UGAGAAAUGUGCAUUCAUGAGAUUAACUUUUGCUCCUUCAUCUUCACAUUCUUGUGGGUUCCUCCCGACAGUUGUGUUGUUUCAGGCACUUUCCUCAUUGGCUGCCCUUCUACAGUGUAAGGGAAUGGGACAGGCAUCUGGGUUUCUCCAAACCCUUGUUCCCAGGGAGGUAACAGGAUUGUGAAGACACAGUUUAUAAAGACAAAUUGAGAAGACUUCUGUAGGAAACAAAGAGAAUUGGAGCUCCCCUGCCUAAGAACCAUGCUUACUCUGAGACUGUUUACUUGCUGAUGCUAGUCUUUGGGCAACAGUGACCUUCCUCACUGAUCACAGCUUGUGUCAAAUAUUCUAUCCUGCCAUCCCUAAAUGGAGAUACCAGUUUUCAUGCACUUUGGAAUUAUUACUGUUUAUUGCCUGAGCAACACAUUUUCAUUUUGCCUGGAGUAUCCUGUCUUACGGGACCUUGUUGACCUAGGAGCUUGCUGUGCAACCUCUACUGGAAACACUCACUGGCUCUCUUGUUGGCUCCAAAGCUCAUGUGGAGCAGUUGAACUACACAAGCAGCAUGACCCACUUCUGAGUGUUCUCCCAUAUUGCAUGGGUUGAACACUUUGAUGACACCUCUCCUCUUGACGUACACUAUUCUCUCAUCCAUGCACCUCAGCAGCCUCCACAAUCAUAGAGAAAGGAGCUGCCUAACAGGAGAUCACAGCGAGAAUGGUGAGUAAACUCUUUGCUUCUCUCUUUGCUGAGAGAAAUGGCGAAACACAUCACUGUGUUGCCAUAUGACCCUGGCAGAGUCUUUGCCUAGAACAGCCAACUAGCUGUGUUUCCUGAGGACAGAAAAGAUUUAUGUGACACAUGACCUUCUGCUGUUUUCCCUCUGUCAAAGACAAAAUUACAUACAACAAAUUUAGCUUAAAGAUCUCAAUUGGCUUUUAUUUCAUCCUAAUUAAGCAACACUUCCUUCUAUAAAACAGAGUGAGGGCCCCCAAGAGACAAGCUGAGGAGCUGGAUGUACAGACAGGAAGGGGCUGAGGGGAAGCAACCACAAAGAACAAAAGGAAAAGCCGUCAUUUCGUAAAAGGUUAAAAUGCAAGAAUGUCCCAAAAUAGGCAUUUUAAGAAGUUUGGCUCUUUUCUUUCUCUUAUACUUCUUGAAAGUUUACAAAGACAAAGCUAUUCAGUUUUGUCUUUAAACCUCAGUGUGAAUAGUUUCAUUUUGUUCUAUUUUGACUGAUAUAGGAGCUCUUUAAAAAUAAUUCAUGUAUACAUUUAUGAUUGUUGUGGACUACUGAGGAUUGAACCCAGCUCCUGGCACUUGCUUAGUAAGUACUCUUGGUCAGUGAGUGACAAUAAUGAUUCUGCUUCUAUGAAUUUUGCUUAUAUCUUUGCAGUUAGGCAGUAAUACACAUACAGCAUUUUGCUUCAUGGAAUUUUUGAAGGCAUCUAAACUAAGAUUUCUUCUGACAACAUAGUUAAGAGCAGAGAUUCUGACUGAAUAGGACAGAACAUAAGUUCAUUGUCUAACUAGAAAGCCUUACUGUCCUUGCUUUUUCUCUUUUUUAAAUUGUAUCAGUUAAGAGGAUUCAAAUACAUAUGUAAGGCAUUUCCAGAUUUUAGAAUUCUACUGAUAUUUGGACAUUUGCAAGAAGGUCUGUCUCUCAUUGGUAGGUUAAAAUGAUACUUUUCUUGUUAUUUUAUAAUAGCAUACUAGAAACACCAACAGAACAACUUCCUAUAACUGAGUAACAUCAAGAUUAUGGAAGAGUAUAAUUUGCAAGUUAAAAAAAUAGAUAUGGGUAAUAAUACUAAUGAAAUGUUUUUAAUGAUUUUCAUCUUUUUUAAAAUCUAUUUUCUUUUUUGGUACUGGGAAUUUCAACCCUACCCCUAAGGCCUGGUGCCACUAAUAAUACAUUUAACUGUAUGAUAGAUCUAGACUUCUGUGAUGACUUUUUUCCCCCAAGAAUGACUUCAAAUCUUCUUUUUUAUUCUGUACAGCUUAGGAAAGAACUUUUCAAAUUCCAUAAGAAGUUUUUAUGCAACUUUAGGCAAUGUAGCUUUUUUCCCGUUUCCUGCUUUAAUGUGUAAACUCGCAUUCAUUUUAUUUCAGGAUCAUUUUCAGGAGCUGCAUGGUACCAAAGGCCAUAAAGAUGCAGAGCAGAUAGACACUAAAGAGAAAGGGUAGACACACAAGAAGGUGAAACACCAGGCUCCGUCCAAACUGUGUCAGUGACUGCAUGCAGUCAGUUCUGCUUUACCAUUCUCUGGCUAAACGCUUAGUAUGGCACCUUAUGUAUUGGGGAUUAUUUGUAGCUUUGGCAUUUCUACUCAGAGUUAAUAUUCUCUUAAGGAGUUCUGGUCUUUCUUUAAACAUUUCAGAAUGAUAGAUGUAUUACAAGACAUGACCAAUUUUAGUAAAAAUCAUGGUCAUCCUUGAAGACUAAAUUCAUAAAAGUUUCACGUCUUCAAAUUCCACUCCUUAACUCUGAGGCAGAAACUGUGAGAAACAUUUUGGUCGUUUUCAUGUGAGAUUCAUCAUCACUCUUGUUCUUAUUAACAAAGUUAUGAAAGGACUUUGGAUGGUAUUUAUGAGUAACAUAAAGAAAUACUUCCUUUAAAUUAACCUAAAAUAUAUGGCUGUGUCAUUCGGUAACUGUAUGUUUAUAUUUCUAUGCAGUGCAUAUAUAGUAUUUACUUUAUUGACUGUGUAUGCACACUAAAGACUAAAGUAAGUAUAUCAGAAUUUACUGAAGAGUGGAAUAUAAUUAGAAGCAUCAAAUGAAUUUCUGGGGAUAAGAUGUGAAAAGCACAUGAUGCCUUAAAACUUUCAUGUUUUAUUCCUUUUGCACCAGAUUCUUAAACUGCAAGCAAGCAUUAAAGAAUCUUGGAAUGCAAAAGUCAACUAGAUUGAAGACAAGCAUGACCAAAUAAUGAGGUGUUAGUCACAUUCACUUCAGAGUCUCAAAGUCACGUCUUGACGCUGCUUUGUGCUUAUUUCAGAGACACAAAAGUUUGGACCAGUGACAAAGAUGGGACAGUGACUAUUGAAACAUGAACUAAAGGAAGAAUCAGGAGAUAUGAAGCUGAAGGGUGUGGGGAGCAGCAGAGACCUUUCACCUCCUGGAUUCAGCCAUGUGUUGUGCGAACUUGAUCAAGUCACUUUUUCGAGUUUCCUUUUCUACACCUAUGAAAAAGCUGAUGGAAAUACAAAGCACACGAGGUUAUUGCCAUUAAGCACUGGCACUUGGACUGGAUAUUCAAGUUAGGACAUCACUCUACCCACACCUGUGAAGAGCAGAAGCCUCUGGCUGUGCUACCUUAUGUCUAUCUGGCUACUUAUAUGUCUAUCAGAAUUUUAUUUAAUGCCCUUGUGAUGCUGAAUCCCGUUUCUUGAGAUCUGGAAGCUGAAAUGAGUAAUACAGGAGAAGAUUCCUCCUUUUAUGUAGUUUUUUGUUUCCUCUAUGGGGAAAAUCUGUGAAUAAAAUAGGUUCUGUUAAUGCUAAGAGCUACAAAGAAAAUAAGUACCAGAUGAUGUGAUGAAAGUCCAGUCUGAGGCAGCAUGUGUGCAUGUGCACAUGCAUGUGGUGUGCAUGUGCUGCAAUGUGUUGGACUCCGUCAAACAGGGAAUGGUAGUGAGCUGAGUCCUGAAUAUCAGCUCAUCAUUUCCAAUCAGGGAAACCAGAGAUUAGGAGGCACAGCAUGAUUGGAUCAGGCUCAGUGCCGUGCCUUUCCAAAGGUACAUAGACUGACCAGCAAGCUGCCUUUAGGGAGAUGAAGUAGGCAGUGCUGGUCAGUCUUUGGGAUUGAGAACUAAGAAAGAGGAAGAGAACUUUCACCGGGCAGAAGUGAUUGAAGAGGCUGUGUGCAGACUAAAAGAUCUGGAUUAUCAGAAAGUAAGAACAGGCUAAGGAAGUCAGAUGGGCCUCCAUCUGGCAUCCAACUGGAUAUCAGAAUAAUGAUCCAUGGCGUUUUGUUACUGGUGUGGCUCGUGGAACUGCUGAAAGACUGAACAGGCUGGAAUGUCUCAUCUGGAAGAUGUGCGUCCUGCCAAGGACACGUGUUCCUCAUUUUCCCUGAAUUUCAGUUAAUUUUUCAUAGUAUAUCAGAAAAUGUUAAACUGUGGCAGGAAGUUCAAGAUGCAGCAGAUGAAGAACAUCAGUCUUCUUGUGGGCUGCCAGUGCAUGUGGAGACACAGCCAGAUACACCCCUCUGAUCCAGCUGCAACCGUCAGAAGGCUUACUUCCUGGAGACAGUCAGCAUAGGCAAGGACACAGAGACAGUGAAAACUGCCAGUGAAGACAACUAUGAAUGUGGUGUGCUGCAAGAUGCAGGUGACUGUGUUGGGACAGCUAAUGAACAGUAAGGAACACAGGAAUCAGAAGGCGAGGGAAAUGAACAAAUUGUAGCUGAGAGCCCUGUUAUUGACCUUGGCAGUGAUAGUGUCUUUGUGCUUUACAAAAAGGCCAAGGACAGCAGCUGUGAGAGCAGUGAGACUCAGAGCUGUGCUGGCCAGCAUCUUCCCCAUGAGGUCUUCAUGAGCCAGGAAAGUCACAGACUUUCAGAGGCAUUGGUUUUGCUGUAUUAUGGCAUAUUUGUCAUCAGGGCACUUCAUACAGUGCUCCAUAUCUACUGAGAAAUUCAAAUUGUCAUUAGCUGAAGUUCAUUAAUUUUCUUUUUUUUUUUUUUUUGGUCUUUUUCAUUUUUAUCGGUACCAGGGAUCGAACUCACGACCGCCUGCUUGCAAGGCAGGUGCUUAUGCCACUGAGCUAAACCUCCAGCCCCCCAUUAAUUUUCCCCACUCACUCAACUGUUCAUAGACUUUCACAGGUCUUCCUAAUAAAAAUUGUGUUAUUUUGUUUCUGUUUAAUGUUUGUUUUUAAUUUAAAAAAUUUAUUUCCAUUUAUAGACAAGAAUCUUCAAUGAAAGUUUUACCUGUUACAUCAACUCUCCUUUCAAUUUUUUUACAUUUUGAAAUAAUCUUAAUCACAGCGUUGUCCAGGCUGCACUCAAGUUUGUGAUACUUUUGUCUCAGCCUCCUGGAGUGCCUGUAUUCCUGGUCUACAUCAACAUGCCCAGAUUUUCAUUUGAUUUUCUAGACACCGAGAAAAGGAAUGUUAUAUUGACAGUAUUUCCCUAUCAAUCUUUCCCUUUACAGUUCUAUACUUUUAAAGAACAAUAAAGUAUAUACCUAUCUAUAGCUAA